rnacentral:rRNA from 1 species
AUACGGAGGGUGCAAGCGUUGUUCGGAAUCACUGGGCGUAAAGGACGCGUAGGCGGGUUGGCAAGUCAGAUGUGAAAUCCUACAGCUUAACUGUAGAACUGCAUUUGAAACUGCUAACCUAGAGUAUGGGAGGGGGAGAUGGAAUUAGUGGUGUAGGGGUAAAAUCCGUAGAUAUCACUAGGAAUACCGAAAGCGAAGGCGAUCUCCUGGAACAUAACUGACGCUAAGGCGUGAAAGCGUGGGGAGCAAACAGGAUUAGAAACCCCAGUAGUCC